rnacentral:rRNA from 1 species
UACAGAGGGUGCAAGCGUUGUCCGGAAUCACUGGGCGUAAAGGGCGCGUAGGUGGCCUGAUAAGUCGGAGGUGAAAUCCUGGGGCUUAACCUCAGGGCUGCCUUCUAGACUGUCCGGCUCGAGCACAGUAGAGGCAGGUGGAAUUCCCGGUGUAGCGGUGGAAUGCGUAGAGAUCGGGAAGAACAUCGGUGGCGAAGGCGGCCUGCUGGGCUGUUGCUGACACUGAGGCGCGACAGCGUGGGGAGCAAACAGG